GAAGGGACCUAGCGUAGUUCGGAAUUACUGGGCUUAAAGAGUUCGUAGGUGGUUGAAAAAGUUGGUGGUGAAAUCCCAGAGCUUAACUCUGGAACUGCCAUCAAAACUUUUCAGCUAGAGUAUGAUAGAGGAAAGCAGAAUUUCUAGUGUAGAGGUGAAAUUAGUAGAUAUUAGAAAGAAUACCAAUUGCGAAGGCAGCUUUCUGGAUCAUUACUGACACUGAGGAACGAAAGCAUGGGUAGCGAAGAGGAUUAGAUACCCUCGUAGUCCAUGCCGUAAACGAUGUGUGUUAGACGUUGGAAAUUUAUUUUCAGUGUCGCAGGGAAA
rnacentral:rRNA from 1 species